GAUGAAGAACGUAGCGAAAUGCGAUACUUGGUGUGAAUUGCAGAAUCCCGUGAACCAUCGAGUCUUUGAACGCAAGUUGCGCCCGAAGCCAUUAGGCCGAGGGCACGCCUGCCUGGGCGUCACACGUCGUUGCCCCCCCAUCUACUCCUUCGGGAUUGCGGGGGGCGGAUGAUGGCCUCUCGUGCGCCUCGUCGCGCGGUUGGCCUAAAUGCCAAGUCCUCGGCGACGCACGCCACGACAAUCGGUGGUUGCGAAACCUCGGUUGCCUGUCGUGUGCGGUCGUCGCGCAUCGAGGGCUCGAAAAAAUUGCCGGGCUUCGGCUCGACUUUCAACGCGACCCCAGGUCAGGCGGGGUUACCCGCUGAACUUAAGCAUAUCAAUAAGCGGAGGA
rnacentral:misc_RNA from 1 species